rnacentral:lncRNA from 1 species
AUGGCUGUAAUAAACAAGAUCUUGUCUUUUAAUCAGCCGGAAUACCUACGCACUGCAUUUGGACACCAGCAAUGCCCUCCAUCUGAGCAACAGCUGACACAGGGACUUCCAAACAGAACUUUUGAGGAUAAACAAGAACAAGGGUUGCUGCCCAAAGAAGACAUGUGGAGCUCUUGGAGACCAACAGCCACAUCUCCAGAAUGGAGAAGAGAAGACUUUACCCCGCGGGAUCUUCACAGCCUUCCAGAAAUGCGGUCUCAGAGAAGAACCUGUGUGAUUGUACGACAGAUUACGCAGCAAUAACACGGCCCUGCAACAGAAAUGGAAACUCAGUGGGCAGCCCGUGCGCGUUUCUCCAAAACAAGCUGUGAAUAACUGCGGAGGAAGCAGCCUCCUCAGACAGCACCGUCAGAAAGCUUUCUGCUGUCCCUUGAACCUGCAUCCAGCAAGGAGCAACCACAGGUAGUGCUGCCUCACGUCUGAGAGGAAAAGCAAUCCUCUGACAAACCGGCGGAUGAGUAUUUGUCCAGGUUCUGCUCUUCUCGUUAUUUGUCUCGAAAUAUAAAGACCAAAAACUUUGACAAGUAUUUUUUUUUUUUCUAUUGGAAAAAUAAGCUUUUCUUUCAUUUCAGAUAGAUGUGGAGAAAGAUUGCUUCCCAGCCAUUCGCUCCCUGUGUGCCUCAGCCUCCAAUGCCGUGUUUCGCUUGUUCAAAACAGGGAGCUGCUGGAGAGGGUCCAGAGGAGGGCCACGAAGAUGAUCAGGGGGCUGCAGCACCUCCCCUAUGAGGACAGGCUGAGGGAGCUGGGCUUGUUCAGCCUGGAGAAAAGGCUGCGGGGUGAC